rnacentral:rRNA from 1 species
UUCCAGACUCCUACGGGAGGCAGCAGUGGGGGAUAUUGCACAAUGGGGGAAACCCUGAUGCAGCGACGCCGCGUGUGGGAAGACGGCCUUCUGGAUUGUAAACCACUGUCCCCAGGGACGAAAAUGACGGUACCUGGGGAGGAAGCUCCGGCUAACUACGUGCCAGCAGCCGCGGUAAUACGUAGGGAGCAAGCGUUGUCCGGAAUUACUGGGUGUAAAGGGAGCGUAGGCGGGCGAGAAAGUUGAAUGUUAAAUCUACCGGCUUAACUGGUAGCUGCGUUCAAAACUUCUUGUCUUGAGUGAAGUAGAGGCAGGCGGAAUUCCUAGUGUAGCGGUGAAAUGCGUAGAUAUUAGGAGGAACACCAGUGGCGAAGGCGGCCUGCUGGGCUUUAACUGACGCUGAGGCUCGAAAGCGUGGGGAGCAAACAGGAUUAGAUCCCCUUGUA